rnacentral:rRNA from 1 species
GAUGAACGCUGGCGGCGUGCCUAAUACAUGCAAGUCGAGCGAACAGAUGAGGAGCUUGCGCCUCUGACGUUAGCGGCGGACGGGAGAGUAACACGUGGAUAAGCUAAAUAUAAGACAAGGAUAACUACGGGAAACCGGAGCUAAUAGCGGAUGAUAUAAUGCACCGCAUGGUUGACUAGUGUCUGACGGUCUUGCUGUCACUUCUAGAGGGUACCGCGACGCAUUAGCUGGUUGGUUAGGUAACGGCUUACCACGGCACCGAUGCGUAGCCGACCUGAGAGGUUGUCCGGCGCCACUGGAACUGAGACACGGUCCAGACUCCUACGGGAGGCAGCAGUAGGGAAUCUUCCGAAAUGGGCGAGAGCCUGACGGAGCAACGCCGCGUGAGUGAUGAAGGCCUUCGGAUCGUAAAACUCUGUUAUUAGGGAAGAACAAAUGUGUAAGUAGCUGUGCACGUCUUGACGGUACCUGAUCAGAAAGCCACGGCUAACUACGUG